rnacentral:rRNA from 1 species
UGUCGGAUGUUCAUAGGGCUGACUGGUGUGGGCGGUAAGCGCGCCGUGAGUCUUGUGUCGGUAAUCGGUAACGGUACGGCUGGUACGGCAGGGGCCGCAACCGGGAGCACGAGGAGGAUAAGCGCCGUUCGUAUCGUCGAAGGGUCCGCCUCUGAUUCACGGAUCUGAGGCGACAAAGAGGAAGGCGUCGUGGUCGUGGUGGCUGUUGCUGUUGUCGCGCAAGGAGCGGUUGCAUGAGUGCGAGGACCUCCGGGAGGGCGUCCGGCGUCGCGGGUGCCCGAAGCGGAGGGAGAGGAACCCGCGGCCGGUGCUGGCGCGGAAGCAGGCACCGGACACGGCGCCACUAAGGUGUGGCAGGCUCACGGAGCACUUGGACGCUCGUCCGCAGGAGCUGAUGCCGUGCACGUGCAGGUCGGCCUCGCACCAUAAGACCAUGCUGUUCACGAAGUAGUGGAUGCGGCUGUGGUUGCGGUGGUUGUUGAUGUUGAUGCUCAACGCGAGCGAACUAUACGCGCAGUGGGAGCCUUCGAGGCGGGCCUCAUCGGUACUCGGCCUCAAGAAGAGCGACUUUUUAGCGAACCACCGUUCCCGCCGGUCGCGGCCUCCGUGACCCGUCCGGUUCAAGCGGUGGCCCCUCCGGCUCAUGCGUGGGUUACCCUGCUACAUGCCAGAGCGCCUCACGUACUCCCUGGAAUCGCCGCUCCUCACGUUAGCCACAGACGUUAAUAACAGCUGUCUAAACGGCAGCACGACGUUGGCUAUAGUCCCUCCCUGCCGCGUUUUGAAGUUGACGGCGGAAGCCCAAGUUCGUAUACGGAUGAUACUGGACCGCGGGCUGCGAGGCGGAGGCCGACGACGUGGCGGCCGCGGCUAGAGGAGCCAGCCUUUCCCCUCUAAUGUUGUACGGUAGGACAAACAGCGGUAAAGACAACCCUGUGAUAAGCAGGAUCAGCGGCACGAACGAACGCAAGCAGCUGUCUCCUCUUCCUUGUUCCGCUUCUUCCUUGUUGUUCUAUUACGUUCCCUCCCGUACUUUAUAUAAUCAGACGUUCACAAUUCUCGACGUUGUAGGUUAAAAAGAUAUCUGUUAUUUGACCCUCUCCCUCCUAAGCCUCUUCAAAAAUUCAACGUACAUGUAUCCCGCUUAACGUCUUACCUUACUUUUAUCGGCACUUUUCCGACAGUUUCUUGAGUCGAGUUCCCAAACUACUCGACUUUUUACUCGAUCACAAUCGAUUGUCUGAACUCGUGUUCUUAAACCACGGGGAAGAGCCACAAACGAACGUUCUCUUUGACCACCACAUGCUUAUAUACGGAUUACCUUCGGAUGUGUGCUCGGAAAAGUCAUUAAGAGGGCUGAGGUGAACAAUUUUAAAUGAUGUGAAAAUGUGGUGAUCAGACGUAUAAGACAACAAAAAUCAAGGUCACCACGUACACACAUGACACAUCGUCUAAGACUCUUCCGUGUGGUUGACCUGACCUGCUUUUCUUUGUGCUAGUAGAGACCCUAACGAGCUCCAGAUAACAUAGAGGUGCUCCUCAGAGCAGAUUUUCAGUAUGUGGCACUGGACUUCGGUUCGUUGCAGAAUAAUCUGGACCUAUACUUGGGGUUCUAGAGUCUGAAACCAGACAGAUCCCGAAAGCCACUUCUAGUCAGCUACCUAUAUUGUUUUGCGGGACAGCCAUGUGAACCUAUGUACAGAGGGCUCAUGCGCAUGACACCGGUUCAGAGAUGGUUCAGUCUGUACAUGUCGAAGCCCCAGUAUCAAUAGCUCUAACACUGACCAGCUUCCUUGUUAUCCAGUGACCUUCUAAUACUAUGGCGGAGGUCUAUAGAAGAGUCGAUACAUUCCAUACCCUUUUCACCUUACGUCCUAGCUACCUUCUCCACCACCUAAGGACGGACCCGCCAGCAAUGGGGCUCUCGCUCCGCGAUUUGACACACGUGUAGCCUGACGAUACGCAGGUCCUCCUAGGGUCGCGGUCCGGUCUACGCAGGCUCCAUCACGAGUACGAGCUGUCGGUGAGGUGCAGGUACUUAUACGCGUGAGGGAGGUCCGGACGCAAGACGAAGUGUGUUGGACCGCAGCAGUCCGUACGAUGCCGGUUGCCGGUUGACAGAUGGGGGCAAAGUCUGUUACUUCACUGCUAAAGCCUAGAGGUCGGAUCCAUCCUGCUAAAGUCUGUUCAAACAUAAUCAUUACGUUUAUGGAUGGUUCCAAAACUUAAAAAGCCUACGUUUUGUUUAGAGCACCCCGUGGCCUAAGGGCCAAUGGCGCCAUUGACUUUUUAUGGCCCACCAAUGAACUGCUAAAAGAAAGGUAAACUUGUUCUGAGUAAGUGUUAAUUCAGUUUCGAGUAAGUUUAAUAUUUUAAGUCCUACAAAACGUGCCAUCCCACUAAAGAGUACUCUAUAGUUCUAAGUGUCAAUAGCCCGCGAUUGGCUUAAAUGG